GACGAACGCUGGCGGCGUGCCUAAUACAUGCAAGUUGAGCGCUGAAGGUUGGUACCUGUACCAACUGGAUGAGCCGCGAACGGGUGAGUAACGCGUGGGGAAUCUGCCUUUGAGCGGGGGACAACAUUUGGAAACGAAUGCUAAUACCGCAUAAAAACUUUAAACACAAGUUUUAAGUUUGAAAGAUGCAAUUGCAUCACUCAAAGAUGAUCCCGCGUUGUAUUAGCUAGUUGGUGAGGUAAAGGCUCACCAAGGCGAUGAUACAUAGCCGACCUGAGAGGGUGAUCGGCCACAUUGGGACUGAGACACGGCCCAAACUCCUACGGGAGGCAGCAGUAGGGAAUCUUCGGCAAUGGACGAAAGUCUGACCGAGCAACGCCGCGUGAGUGAAGAAGGUUUUCGGAUCGUAAAACUCGGUUGGUAGAGAAGAACGUUGGUGAGAGUGGAAAGCUCAUCAAGUGACGGUAACUACCCAGAAAGGGACGGCUAACUACGUG
rnacentral:rRNA from 1 species